UAUUUAAACAUGAGGGAGAGGGGACGGCUGGCUACUCCUAGAAGAGCUCGUGUUUUAAAAGGAAAAAUGAUCAAAACUUCAUUAGUGAAGUGAGUCUGGCUACCUGAAGGACACAAACCUACCUGCUAGUUAGUAGGAGGCAGAUUCACACCGAGCGGAAGUUUGGGCAGGAGACAAACUUUGUUCCCCUUGCUAAAAGUAAGUAAUUAGAUUAAUAGAUAAAGAGAAUGGGCAGAAGUGAAGAGGACCCUCAGCCUGCUGAAUUACAUAGACAGAACUCCAAUUCCUUCGCGGGGUGGUCCGGUGACCUGCUGAACCAUAGGAGCAAAAUCUGAAUGGAUGGCGAAUAAUAAUCUUUUCUAUAGUGCUUUGAGAUCACACGUUUUAAUGCAUUUACCCUCACAAUAGCCCUGGGAGGGGAGAAGCGCAGUUAGCCCCAUUGUGCAGACAGGGAACUGAGGCACACAGAAGCUGAGUGACCUGCCUGAUAUCUCGCAGGAAGUCUGUGGCCGAGGAGGGAAAUGAACUGGGAUCUCCAAUGUCCAGGACGAGACUUUUUUGGAAUCCCCAAAUGGAAAUUUAGAGUCUUAAUUCAAGCUGCAGCUGAUCCCUGUGUAAUGUUACGUUGGAAGGUGCUGAUGGCUGCCGGCAAGGGGUCUGGGAUCCAAAGCCACCACAGACCUCGUUAAAGCCAAUGGAGCAGGCACUCUCUUUCAGGCUCAAUGGAAGGACAAUCAAGCCCUGUAGUAAAACCAGCUGGGGACUGUGGGGCUAGCACCUGGUACUAGGCUGCAUAGUUCAUCUGGACUUUGUGAUAUGGCCAGAGGGCCAUGCCACUGAAGACCCGCUAAGGUUGGCUGGCAGCCUGUACCGGGUGCCAGGGGUGAGAAAAAGUCUGCAGUACCACACCCAGCCACUUGAAGGCACUCAAGAGAAACUGGACUUCAUCUGAUGCAGAGAGAGUUCCCAAAAGUUGCAAGAGAAGAGCUGGUUUGAAUUUUUUGGCACAGUGUUUUUGGGAUGUAUGGAACAGACGUGGCCAGUCACAAGAAAAGGAAUUGGUACGCUCUCUACCAUGGAAAUGAAGAUGCUGAGAUGAUCAAAUGGUUGGACACUCCAUGACAGGAAAUGAAAUGAGGUUGUGAGGAUCCUUAUGUGGGUUGCCCCAAUUGAAGACCAGUUGAGGGAGGCUACGUUACGUUGAUAUGGAUGUGUCCAAUGGAGACCUGAGAGUGUUAUUGAUAGGAAUGCCCUUGCAAUCAUCAUGGACGGAAAAUGACCAAAGGUAGGCCAAAGAAUCAAUACAUGGACCAGAUAUCAGUGGACCUUAGAGAGACCAAUUGCAUGACAGCCUGGUGUACAAUCAAGAGUUUUGGAAGAAGGCUAUAAACGUCACUGACCUCAAACAGAGAUGUGUUGAAGAAGAAGAUGAUGAUGAUGAUUUUUGGGGGAAAUUAUCAGCAUUUGCAGCCAACUGUCCCCACCAUCUUUCCCACACUGCUCCCAGUCGGCCUCAGAUCUACUCUGAAAGAACAACUGGCACUACUUGGCAAUUCUGUAAGGAGUCCGAGUAGAGAGGCCAAAGACUGGAGGAGCUAUAGGGACUGAACUCCUUUCCCAUCACUGAAAGGUGACAAGUCAAAAGUGGACUACAGCAGAACCAGGAUGAGCUCAAAAAUAUUUUAAUGCAAAGAAGUUUGGAGGGCUAUUAAAGAAAUGGGCAAUGGCUUUAGUUAGGCAACUCAUGUGAGCAAGGCCUGCAGGACUGGAUCACAGCCCAGACAUGAACAUGUGUCUGCAGUUGAAAGCCCCUCCUCCCCCAUCUCCACACCAUUUAUAUAGUGGAAGGGCAGUUCAUUAAGGGUAUGGUAGUGGGGUGGCCUGCCCCUUUCAGGACUGGAGGCCUGCAGCUCGCCAGCCUGUACAAUUAACCUGCCUGCCAGGGAUGAGAUGUGGGGUUUAAUUAGAAUCAAAGGGCAGCAAGAAGUUGCUAGAGAGAGGGAGAAGCUCAGGAAACUGUAGAGAAUGAGAGACUCCUGCAGGCAAGAUCCUGAGGCCAGGCUAGGAGGAGCUGGGAGAAGCCUGCUCAAGAAAGAAAUCCCUGAGACCAGCGGAGUUUGGGGCAGGGCCCAGCUUAAGGCUGGAGGGAAUUUUUGUGUGUGUUUAAUUUUGAACUUUGUUAAAAAACUAACUCCUAAGGAGGGUUGUUAUUGGACUUGUAAAAGCCUCUUCUGGAGUUUAUUGUGGAACUAAGAAAGGACACUGAGGCAAGGGGCUGUUUGCAGGGCUGUCCUGAGACCACCAGGGCUGCUGGGAGGUGGAAGGGCCACUCGACGCCAGAUAUGAUUCAAAACUCAAUGGAAGAAAUGGGAAUCUUUCAAUUUCCAUUGAUUUCAAUGGGUUUGAGAUCAGGUCCUCAAUGCUCCAUGCUAAUAAUUUCUAAAUGAUGGAAAGAUUUUUUUCACUGUGCGUGUAGGAGGCCCAAGCUCUGCCUUGUUUUCUAGGGUAGAAUGGGAAGAUUGUUCCAAAAGAAAAAAAAAAAAAAAAUUAACGCUUCCCUAACACUAGCCCUAACCCUUUUUAAACGAGUAGAACUCUUUUUCAGUAAAUAGAGUUAUUCUCUGUCUGGAAGCUACCAGCACAUCUGGGCACUAUUUGUAGCUGUUUCCUGCUUCUUAACCCUUUGCCAACUUGAGCUUGUCAUGACAUUUCCCAUGGCGCAUUUCCAUAUGACCAUAAGGAAGUUACAUUUUCCCUGAACAGUUUCUUCAGGGGAAACUUGAAUUAAAGAAAAUAAAAUUAAUUUAUGGUUUAUGGUUAUGGAGACACCUAAAGAAGAAAAACUAUCCUAUUCAUAUACGUGUUCGCUCCAUCUGAAAAGCAAGGCCAAAGAGAUUUACCUACAGCAGCCAAAACAAAUAAUUUCCUUGGGUGAGCUUUGCCAGCUUUGCAGUGUUUGCACUCCUACAUGCCUGUGGUUGUGUUUAAAACACUCUGUAAACAACAACUGCACUCCUCCAGCAAAACUCAUGUCAAACAUAAACUUUGCUCUUGACCUAGAAACAAGAUUACAUAAAGGGUUUUUUUUAAACAAGUUCAAUUGCACAUGCUAAAAUGAUGUACUUAUGAAAGUGGUUAACCAGGGAACCUAUUCUGGGCUCAUUAGAGACCUUUCUUUAUCUGAUUCUGAAACGCCUUAAGCCAUGAAAGGCUGAAUGCCACCUGAAAAAUAAGU